CUGGCCCUGAGGCCGCCGCCGCCCGGACCGCGGGGCCCGUCUGGACCGGCCAGGCGCCCGGGAUUCGCCUCGGCUCGGCCGCACAUGUACAGCUCUUCCCCCAUGAUCUUCACCACUGAUAAAGCAGAAGAAACUGAGGCACGGGGAGAAAGUAGCUGACUGGGAAAAACAGGCCAAGACACCCUCUUUAGAGUCAGUGGCCAUCAGCUUUUUCAGAUGCCGCUCCAGGGCUCCACAUGUAUGAUCCCAGCGCUCCUCUGCACACAGGUGCUCCCAUCACUUUUUGCUGUUUCUCAUUGCCGCUCUCCCAGGUUUGCUAUGUACCCUGCCACUGUCAGUACUUCCUGUCUCCCUGGGUUUGUGCCUCUUCCCUCUUGUCUUUCUGAGUCUUCUUUUUUUUUAAAAAAAGACCCUAUUUGUUAUUAAUUAUUAUUACGUAUACAAUGCUUGGCCUACAUGCCAGAAGAGGGCACCAGAUCCCAUUAUAAAUGGUUGUGAGCUACCAUUCAGUUGCUGGGAAUUGAACUCAGGUCCUCUGGAAGAGCAGUCAGUGCUCUUCACUGCUGAGCCAUCUCUCAGCUCCCUCUGGUUCUGCUUUGUAGGUGUGACGGAGACAGGUGUCAUCUUUUAUAUUGACUGGUUGCUUACUACCAAGGAAAUGCUUAGGAAGGGCUUACUCUCCCCUCAUCUGUCCUGUUCAACCUGGUGGUGAGUUAUCUGGCUGGCAGCCCCCUUUGUUGGCCUCUUCACCACAAUGUGCACUAAGACAAGACACGCCGGUGCUGACCUGCUACGCGAUUGCGGUGGACUCCGAAAGUGCUGUCAUGGGGAAACUGUGCUGAUACGCACAUAAAGUGCUGGAUGCCUGCUCUGCCUUUCUUGUCUAGGCUUACAUACUUACAAUUUUUGCCUGCUUUUUUGUUUCUUGUUUUUGUUUGUUUGUUUUUUCAAGACAAGGUUUCUCUCUCUGUAGCUUUGGAGCCUGUCCUGGAACUAGCUCUUGUAGACCAGGCUGGCCUCGAACUCACAGAGAUCCGCCUGCCUCUGUCUCCCGAGUGCUGGGAUUAAAGGUGUGUACCACUACUGCCCAGAAAUUUUGCCUUUUUUAGGAAGACAAUAUGUUGCUAUGCAGCCCAGGCUGGCUUUGACUUGAAGAUCUUCCUGAGCCUCCGAAGAGCACAUCUGCGGGCACCCGCCAUGCUUGCCUAGGCCUCUACAGAUUCUUUUAGAGGCCUAGGACUCUGGAUCCUGUUGGGUUAUUGACUUAGGUCUGUCCAAGAAGUUUGCCUUCUUUCUUAUCUAAAAUGUUUGUUCUAUAUUAAAACUUCUUCCCCCUACCCCACCUCAUACCCUUUCUUCUAGCUCCUUCCCAUAUGUCUUAGAGACAGAGACUCAGGCAGUAACCAGUCUUUUUUUGAGACUAUGGCAAGACUUCACAGAAUGCACUGUUCUUUCAUUUUGCUUCUUAAAUGGCCUGUGUUCCUGAGCUGAAAACUCCAGCCUCUCUCACUUCUGGGUUCUAUCUUCUGUCUGUCAUCUUCUCUAUUUUAGCCUUUCCUGACAGGCUACCUCCCUGCCCUGCUAGCUGCCUGGCCUGGCCUAUGUCCUUCCAUCAUCCACCUGUCUGUUCGAGUCUCCAUUUGCCUGCAGUCAUGCAUUUUAGAGCACGUGGUAAAUUAUGAGGCACUGUGUUUGUGUAAGGCUUUUCUCUGUCUUCCUCCUCACCUGUUUCCUCCGUUGUCUUCUGCUUCACUCUCUCUUUCUCUCUUCACUUGGCUGUGUUUGCCUACUUCCCACCGCCAUUUGUCUUCUCCAUGCCGGCCUGCUCUCCUACCAUCCUCCGUCUGCCCAGGGCCUGACUCUUUUCCGUGUGCAGGUCCCUCUAUAGUUCUUUCCCCUAUUUGUUCUCUGCCCUUGGGCCUUCUAUCUGUCUCUAGAUGUCUGUCCCCUGCUGUCAGUUUCAGGGUAAGCAUCAGUGCACUCUAUGCUUCCAAAAAUAAGAAAGUUUGAAAUCUUUUGUAACUAAUUUGUAGAAAUUACUUCUUAUUUUUUUAUUUAGAAGAGUGUUCAGGUGAGAACAAGGAAUAUACAUAUAUGCAGUUACCAAAUGUAAACUAGAAGUUGAUGAACCUUCCCAGUGUAAAAUAAAUAACAAGAAAAUGCAUUGAGGAGGCUCCCACACCACUAAUAAGAUUAUUUAAAGGAGAAUCAAGAAAUGUAUCUAAAGCAAUAGCUAUAAAUCUUUCCGAUUAUAAAAGGUCAUAAACUGUUUUGCUAGAGAAAAGACAGCCACUCUUUCAAGGGGACAAAAGCUCCAGCUCCAUGGAAACAAGCUUCAUCGCAGAGCUCUAUGUGCUGGGCUAGGGAGACAGCUCAGGCUGAAACUGCUCGCCCCACAAACAUGGGGACAUGAGCGCCAUCUCCAGCACCCACUUCCAGCUGAUGUACAGAAUAUGUACAUAAGAUAUCAUGUAUGUGUUCAUAGGCCUGUGGGCCCAAGUUAAAAGCCUGACAUAGGAAAGCAGUGAGACUUAGUGAGAGAGCACAGACAAGCCUGUGGACGUGCACAGUGCACACUCUGCAGUCUACGACUUCCAGUCCACGGCGAUAUAAACGUUAGAGACAAUAGUGUAAGGCAUGUAGAUGCUCAGGAUAGUCUAGACAUAGAUUCAGUGAUAAGGUCAUCUAAAUCACUGGUUCCUAAACUGUCCUCUCCUAGAAAAGUCUGUCCUGACUCUGAGAUUUUAUAUAUAAAAAUAUAUGUAUGCUAUAUUUAUAUAAAAUACAUAUAAAUAUAUAUUACAUAUACACGUAUCAGGCUGGCUUCAAAAAGGUCUGCCUGCUUCUAAGUCCUAAGUGCUGGGAUCAAUGGUGGGUGCCACCACACCUGGCCUAACUUGAUCAUUCCUAUGUAGUAUAGCAUAGAAAAAUCACACAGAUUUUCACAGUGCAACCAAAAGCUGAACAUGAUUGUGUUCUUUCUCAGCUGAGAAAACGCCCUCACUAGGCUGGCCUGUGGGCAAGAAUGUGGUGUAUUUUCUCAAUUAAUGAUGGAUGCACAGACCCAGCUCAAGGUGGGCAGUGCCACUACUGUAAGAAAGCAGGUUGAACAAGGAAGGAGUAAGCUCCUGCCCUGUUUGGGUUCCUGCUGACGGCUCAGUGAUGGGCUGUGAUGUGGAACUGGACGAGGGCAGAUUUCCUGCCCAGGUUCUCAUGUAUUUUUAUCACAGCAGUGGAAAAUGGUGUGGAACCCUAACAAAGACAGCAGCAGAUUCUUAUGAUUCAAUCUUUACUGAAUAAGUAUUAAAUUGUGCAUGUUAUAUAAUUCCAUCCAUGUCGUAAAAUAUUACAAGGGUUAGUAAUGAUUUUCAUAGAAAUAACAUUAUUUUGUUUUCUGUAUAUUUAUAUUCCUCUCCCUAGAAUUUGCUCUGGAGUACAUACACUAUGAUGAAAAAUAAGACUUAGUUGAGAGAGACACUGACUGAUUGACUAGUGGUCAUGAAGCUUGGUAGUCUCACAUAGAGAACGACCUGGAAGGACUGGGACACAGCUCAGUGCUAGAACACUGGGUUCAGUACCAAGAGCAGAUCACAUAGCUCAGAGAAGCUUUCAUGUGUGUGCAGUGUUGGAAAUUAAGCCCAGAACUUCUGCAUGCUAGCCAGUGGCUUUCCACUGAGCUACAACCCCAUAGGAGGAUCUAAUUUUAGAUCCAGGGUGCUUUCCAAAUUCCCCAGUCUUGUAUUAAAAGCCUGCAUGCCUUGGAGGCUCCCGCAGCCUUGCUCAGAUCUCUGCCUUCUCUCCCCUUAAGGUUAGUUUUUGAGGGGCCCGGGAGAUGGCUCAGUGGGUACUUGCAGCCAUCCCUAAAGGCCUAGGCUUGAUUCCCAGGAUCCACACUGUAGGCAAGAACCAACUCCUUCAGGUGUCCUCUGGUCUCCACAUGUUCUCAUGUACCCGCCCGCCAGUGUGCUGUGCCCCUGUGUUCUCAUGUACCCGCCUGCCACUGUGCUGUGCCCAUGAAAUAAUCCUUUUUUAACUCCUAAUUUUCCCCUAACUCGCCCCACUUUCACUUCACCUCGUUCAUCUGGCUUGAAUUCCCAUAGUAAUUCAUUUCAGUCAGUCUUUACCUCUGCCAGUGUGCCAGCUCUUGUUCACCUUCCUGCAAGCCACUAUCCUUGGUCACUGUUUACCACCAAGGUGCAAAGUGCUGCAGUCCACGUGACUGUCAGACUAAGUCCGUCCUCAGGAAUGUUUUCCUGAUCAGCUUCCUUUGCGAGUCAGCUUCUCUAUAGUGGCUUUCUGGUUUUUGUUUGUUUUUAAUGCUUUAAUUUUAAUAAUGUGUAUGUCUGUGUGCACAUUAGUGGAAGGGCCUGCAGAGACCAGAGGCAUUGUGACCUCUGGAGCUGCGUUGAGGUGACUGUGGGCCACCAGUGUGGUGCUGGGAACUGAACUGAGUCCUCUCCAACAGCAGUGUGUGCUAUUAAUCACUCAGCCACAGUGAAACCAUCCUCAAAUCCAUUCCUUCGAGUGAGUCUGUCCACUUGCAGAGGACAGAAUGAAGGAGCAUGGACAGGAAGAAAGAGGAGGACAGACCCUGACAGAGUGGUGCACACCUGUGAUCCUGUACUUCGGAAGGAAGAGCAGGAAGAACAGGAAUGAAAGGCCAUCCAGAGCUCUCCAGAAAAACUGAGGCCAACCUGGAGCUAUGUAGACCCUGCCUUAAAAAAAAGAAGAGGUGGAGGAGGAGAGAAGGACAGAUAGGGAUGGAGUUAAACAUGAAGAAUUAGAGCCUGUUUUCAGGAGACUAGUGAGAGGGUUCAGUCUAAAUUGUAGAGCAAGACCAUUUCAAAGAGUAGGUUUGGCAUUAAUGUCUCAAAGGAGCUCUCUUCCUAUUGAAGAUACGUUAUUAUCAAUAUGUUAAAGUGUUUAAGCCAGGCUUGAUGGCACACACCUUUAAUUCUAGUACUCAGGAGGCAAUGUAGACAGAACUCAGGGAGUUUGAGGCCAGCCUGGUCUACAUGGCCACCUGCAGGCCA